CGAUAAACCAAACGAAACUGAAUUCUCCUAUAUGAAUCAAACAACUAUCGUAGCCACUGUUCCAAUAAAGUGGAAGAAAGAAUACGAAGAAAUAGAUCUUUUUUGUAAAUUCAACUUUCAACUUUCAAAAACUAGGCAAAAAACUCGUGAAACAGUACGAGUGGAAAAGAGUAUCUCAAGGUAAUACAAAAUUAGAAGAAAUCUUUGAAAAUUUGGAACAUGGCACAACUUAUAGAAUCCAAUCUGUGUUUUUAAUUAAUCAAGUUCCAGUAUAUGGCGAGUGGAAAAAUGUGGAUACUUAUUAUGAUUCAAUUAUAUUCGUGCCGGAUAAACUCGUCGGAUAAUCUGCUAUUCAUAAAUAAUGAUAAUGAAGAAAAGAGAAUAAUACAUGGGUUAAUUCUGUCUUUUCAUGUGCUUUGCCAAAUUUAACUCCAUAUAUUUCUUACAAUGUAACUAUACUCUAUAGGAAAAAGAAAAUAUUUUCUAAGGAAAUUCAUACAUUCGAAGGAGUUCCAUCGAAAGUGGGACCUCUUAUAGCGAUACUCUUGCCAAGUACGGAGGCUUAUUUUGGAUAUCGCCAAAGCGACCUAAUGGAAUAAUAAUGUAAUAUGUAAUACAGUUAACGGUAGUAGAGUAUUUUGGCUAUAAGAACGUCCACCUCCUCUAUCGAGUAAAUACAUUCUCGUAGAAAGGACAAAUAAAAUGGAUAACAGACUUUCUGAAUUACAUGCAUAUGCAAAGUAUAAUGUGCAAGUUAUAGCACGGAAUUCACGGUAUUUAAGUGUGCCUGCAGAGACGGAGUUUAGCUUAUC